CGCGGGAUGGAGCAGUCUGGUAGCUCGUCGGGCUCAUAACCCGAAGGUCGUUGGUUCCCUAUUUAUUCAA
rnacentral:tRNA from 1 species